CUCCUGCCUCUUGCAAAGAGAAAAGGACAAGAAUGCUAUAAAUACAGGGGCAUAAGAGGGGUGUGCAUGAAGCACAGAAGACACUCAGCUGCUCUAUUUGCCUCACAGAAGAAAAUUGAGCAUGUGAAGUCCACAGCACUCUCAGCAGAAAGUGCCUCUGAAGUUUGUGACAGCAUGCAGAAGGCCAGGCUGUUUUGAGUAUUUUCCCAAAACAACAACUGGGGAAAGACCUGUGGGCUUAGAAUAACAGAGGGAGCCUGGGAACGUGAAACAGGAUCUGGACUGUGGAGAACCUCCUAUUCAAAUGCUUUCAAUUCUUUUCAUUCUGAAAGAUCUGAAGUGAUAGCAGAACACACUGUCAAAAAGAGCAACAAGGCAAACAGCAUUGGGAUAAUUUAGAAGCCACAGACUGUUUUCCUCUAAAAGAGUGCUCAGAUUGAGGUUGCUGUUGCUGUUAAUCAUCCACAGCAUUAAAGACGUGCUAUCUUAUAUGUACAGCUGCACGUACAGGGUUGUAUAAAACUUACAACAGGAUUUCUCAUUUAGGUUUUGCACACACAGAAGACGUUAGCGUCCUUACUACAGAUGCCAAGCAAGUCGAGAAAAGCGUGAUGGUCAAAAGGGCAACAAUGUUUAAGUAAAUACGAAAUGAACCCUUUUCCCCUGUUCUCUCAUGAUCCAUAAUCAUAAGCUACGUUCUUGCCGGAAAGUGCAGACAUGCACUGCGCAGUGCAUUAAUCCUUCAAACACUAACAGAUGCCGGCAGGGAUUUAGGCUGGAAUGUAUUUACAAAGUGACAAAUUAUGUUCCGUAUUAUACAGAGAGAGAAAGAGCACCCACAAAUAGGCUGAUAAAUGUCAGCUGUAGUCACGACAAACGGUUUAUUUUUAUUAUACUGUAACCACAAAUGUUUUUUGCAGGGAGGCCCAAAGAUUUAUUUGUUGCAGGAAAAAACAAGAUUAUAUAUGACACAAAGUAAUAACUGUGAGAUCACUGAUGUUCUGGGCAGCUUGCCCUCCUGGAAGCUAUGUUCAGAUUGAAAAUUGUUCCUUAAAAAUGGUAUGUUACAUGACACAAAGUAAAUAGUUCAUAAAUCUGUACUGCAACAACAAUAACUAACAAUUAAAGACUAAGGCUGUGGCUUAUAUAAGCUAGAAGGAAAGUUUAGUAUUUCUUUUAGUGGAACGCUGAAAACGAAGCAACAACUUUAAAAUAAAUCUGAAGAAAUUGCUUCAGAUUAAGAGCAAAGUGCGAUAAUUGCGAGAUGGAAGCAACUUAUUUUAAACACGGGCACGGGGCUCUCUAGGAACAGUCAGUGCGGCACAAUUAAUUGGCAGGAUGGUGACGUCUGCAGGCUUACAAACGCACUGCAGCUGUUAGGAAGUACCUCAAAUCCUGCCUAUGGACUCAGGGUACAGUUCAAACACACACAAGCACACACACUUAAUACUGGAAAAGUACAAAUACAGGUAUUCUUAAAAGUCAUUACUACUUUAAUACCAAUUCCAAGGUGCUUCAACAUCAGUAGAAAGACAAACAUGGAAAUGGAAAAGAAAAAAAAAAAACUUUUUAAUCUGCAGUUCAUGGCAUAUAAUCUCCUAGCUCUGAACAAGAUAAUAUAGACAUCUUACAGGACUCUAUCCUCAAAGAAAUAAAUGCAGAUAAAAAUUCCUCCUUCUGCUUCCACAACUGUUCACAUCUCCUGGCUAAGAGACAGACACAAAAUGAAACCAUCCCAGGUCACACUGCUAUCUACGUAAUUUUAGAAAGUGAAAUAAAAGGACUGAAUCGCAUUAGUAAUGAUUUCUUGUACAAAUAAGGGUUGGCAGGAUCAGGUUCUCAAUACAAACUCAAUAUUCACAAUAUAGACUUUGAUGAAAUAUAUGAAGUGUUUCUGAAUGCACAAGAAAAUAUCAAGCAUAUUUGAACAGUACUGGAAUACGGAAAAGCAGCAUUAUGCCACUUGGUUUCUGAUGACACACAAGGGAAGUUGCUGGGUUUUUAAAUACCUUCUUUCUAAAGAAAUAAAGAUUAUACGACAGA